rnacentral:tRNA from 9 species
GCCGCUUUAGCUCAGUUGGUAGAGCACGUCAUUCGUAAUGACGGGGUCAGGUGUUCGAGUCACCUAAGCGGCACCA